AGGGCUCCUGACUACAGGUCCUGUGUGUUACCUCGAAAUAGCACUGGACUUGGAGUCAGAAGGCCU
ensembl:miRNA